rnacentral:rRNA from 1 species
GAUGAACGCUGGCGGCGUGCCUAAUACAUGCAAGUCGAACGAAACUUCUUUAUCAUCGAGCGCCUGCACUCACCGAUAAAGGGUUGAGUAGCGAACGGUUGAGCUACAUGUGGGCAACGUGUCCAAAAGAGGGGGAUUACAUUUGGAAACAGGUGCUAUUCCCGCAUAACCAUAGUUACUGCAAGGUACUUUUGUUAACGCUGGCAAUUCUACCGGUUUUGGAUGGGCCCGUGGCGCAUUAGCUAGUUGGUCGGGUAAAGGCUUACCAAGGCAAUGAUGCGUAGCCGAAUUGAGAGGUUGAUCGGCCACAUUGGAACUGAGACACGGCCCAGACUCCUACGGGAGGAAGCAGUAGGGAAUCUUCCGCAAUGGGCGAAAGCCUGAUGGAGCAACGCCGCGUGAGUGAUGAAGGUCUUCGGAUCGUAAAACCCUGUUGUUAGGGAAGAAAGAGCGUGAGAGUAACUAUUCACGUAUUGACGGUACCUAACCAGAAAGCCACGGCUAACUACGUG